UACGUAGGUGGCAAGCGUUGUCCGGAUUUACUGGGCGUAAAGAGCGCGCAGGCGGUCGAUUUAGUCGCGUGUGAAAGCCCCCGGCUCAACUGGGGAGGGUCACGCGAUACUGAUCGACUCGAAGGCAGGAGAGGGUAGUGGAAUUCCCGGUGUAGCGGUGAAAUGCGCAGAUAUCAGGAGGAACACCGGUGGCGAAGGCGGAUCUCUGGGCCUUACCUGACGCUGAGGCGCGAAAGCUAGGGGAGCGAACAGG
rnacentral:rRNA from 1 species